GUGCCCGAUCUCGUCUGAUCUCGGAAGCUAAG
rnacentral:rRNA from 14 species